GGGCGCUUAGCUCAGUUGGUAGAGCGUCUCGUUUACACCGAGAAUGUCGGCGGUUCGAGUCCGUCAGCGCCCACCA
rnacentral:tRNA from 2 species